UACGAAGGGGGCUAGCGUUGCUCGGAAUCACUGGGCGUAAAGCGCACGUAGGCGGAUUGUUAAGUCAGGGGUGAAAUCCUGGAGCUCAACUCCAGAACUGCCUUUGAUACUGGCGAUCUUGAGUCCGGGAGAGGUGAGUGGAACUGCGAGUGUAGAGGUGAAAUUCGUAGAUAUUCGCAAGAACACCAGUGGCGAAGGCGGCUCACUGGCCCGGUACUGACGCUGAGGUGCGGAAAGCGUGGGGAGCAAACAGGG
rnacentral:rRNA from 1 species